rnacentral:ncRNA from 1 species
AACAUAAGCUAGGGGUGCUCGAGGUGAGCUGAGAAAGAUGGUAUCUUAACUCUUUGAACCUGACGUGGUUAGAACCAACGAAGGGAAGCGCAAUAUGAUGACG